AGCAUUUCACAGUGGCAUGUAAAAGUGAAGAUAUGUUCCACACAGAUCUGAAAAGCAUCCUCCAGUAAUUAUCUUCUGAAGGUGCAUUUAAAUUUCAUGACACAUUUUUAUUUGAUUACACUACCAUCUGAAGAUCACAAGAUGGAAUUGUAGAGACAUUAGGUUAUUUCGAAGCAGGCGAGACGAAAAAUUAGCAAUGCCCUCACUUAGACUCAAACCAUAAUACACGCCGACCAUGCUGACCAUGACAUCACGAAGGCAUGCUAAAAAUGCAGGAGAAAUACCUUAUAGUAUGUUCCACAGUUGAACGAAGUGUGUGCUGUGACAUGUCCAGCAGAUGGUGUGAAAUGCUGGCUUUAAAAUCAGGUCUCGACUACAUCAUGACAAUUGGCAAAAUAUUCGUAACCAACACAAGCUACGUCCAUUAUAAUAACGGAACUUGGAACUGCCUUCCAGUCUUGCAGAAUUCUUUGCUCCUGAUGAAGAGGGACCUGUACCUGUUUCCCCUCAAAAUCGACUCAGAUCUUGACUUAAGUCAAACUCAAGGUUGCUGUAUUAAUAAUUUUAUUAUCAUUUCAGCAUCAUUAUGUUUGUUGAAGCAAGGAAUAAAAAAUGCAGAAUGCUUUCACCGGGAUCUCAACUCUAGAUCUCCUGACUGCUAGCUUGACAUGCUUCCAAAUAUACCAUGAAGGCAUGCAGUAGGGAGAGAGAAGAUAUCUUACAAUACUACCAUUAAGACUAUUGCAAGGGGAGGGGGAGAAAAUACUUAACAGUGCUAUCAUCAAGACUAAUUUAUAAUUUCCUAUAAAAUUUUUGAGUGAAAGCGUUAAAGAAGCUGUUCAAGUCAACAUCUUUUGAAGCAUACACAUGAUGUAAACCAAACAUUAUUCACCUUAAAAGAUUUGAAUGGGAAGCAUAUUUCAUGUAAAAUAGGAAAAAUAUUUGAUGGAUUUUCAAUUUUUGAAAAAUUCAAAAAGUAAAAGAUGUGAAAUUCGAAAAGUAAA